rnacentral:rRNA from 1 species
CCUGUAGUCGUUGGCGGUAGGCGUAUACUUGCAAGGCGUCCGUGGUAUCCGUAACUGGUGCCAGACGGGUGAGUAACACGUGGGAACGUACCUUUCGGUUCGGAAUAAUUCAGGGAAACUUGGACUAAUACCGGAUACGCCCUUCGGGGGAAAGAUUUAUCGCCGAUAGAUCGGCCCGCGUCUGAUUAGCUAGUUGGUGAGGUAAUGGCUCACCAAGGCGACGAUCAGUAGCUGGUCUGAGAGGAUGAUCAGCCACAUUGGGACUGAGACACGGCCCAAACUCCUACGGGAGGCAGCAGUGGGGAAUAUUGGACAAUGGGCGCAAGCCUGAUCCAGCCAUGCCGCGUGAGUGAUGAAGGCCUUAGGGUUGUAAAGCUCUUUUGUCCGGGAAGAUAAUGACUGUACCGGAAGAAUAAGCCCCGGCUAACUUCGUGCCAGCAGCCGCGGUAAUACGAAGGGGGCUAGCGUUGCUCGGAAUCACUGGGCGUAAAGGGCGCGUAGGCGGACUCUUAAGUCGGGGGUGAAAGCCCAGGGCUCAACCCUGGAAUUGCCUUCGAUACUGGGAGUCUUGAGUUCGGAAGAGGUUGGUGGAACUGCGAGUGUAGAGGUGAAAUUCGUAGAUAUUCGCAAGAACACCAGUGGCGAAGGCGGCCAACUGGUCCGAUACUGA